CUGAGUGUGAGGGUCAGUUUGUAGCCUGACUUUCAUACAGGAGGUCAGAGUUGAUGUUCUGUCACAGACCAACUACUGAUGUAGGUUUUUAAUUAAAAUCUUCACUUAAAAUACAAUAAAGUGGACACUUUGUCAUCAUCACCUUUAUAAAAUGAACAUUUGAUGCUUCAUGCUGCUCUUGUAAACAUGAACAUAAAGUCGACCCAAUGAAGCCGUCACAUGUUUUUAAGUUAUUAUGUAAAAUAUGUUAACUUAGUAAUAGUGAGCUGGGAGGAAGUUUGAGGUGAUGGAGGAGAAAUAAUACUGACUAUAAGGUGGACACAAGAUGAUAACUGAGGUAGAAAAUGAGGAAGAACUAACCUGGUGACCAAACUGAGAUCAUUAAACUGUUCUCUUCUUGAAAUGGUGAUAAAUGUGCUGCGUGCUGUUUCAAUACUUACAAAGUUUAUCUCUCUCUCUCUCUUUUUUUUUUUUUUUUUUUACAGUCCACUCACAAAGAAAUUCCAACAAUUCUCAAAACUAUCAGGGCGUUCCGCUCCAGGCUCAGCAACCACCUCAAGAUGAAGGUAACCCAAACUCUGAGGUCAUGUAGGAGCUUUAAUAUCACCAGAUGAUAACUGGGGUAGAAAAUGUGAUUCUACUGCACAAAGUGUAAUAGAAUCCAACAGAUUGUUGUUUUCUCACCAGUGUAGAAAAUUACACGUUAAAACAAUAAAGGCACAAAGAAGUUAUAGUAGUGAUUCUUCAGUACAAAGGAAGAAGAACCAUCAGACAGAACUGCAGACUGAUGACUUACAGUUUAUCAAGAUGGACGACUGACAGCUCAUCAAAGUGAAUCCAGCACAUCAUGAUCGCCUCCUGGUGGCUGAAUGUGAUGUAGCUCAUAAACACAACUCCUCCAUGUUAGAUGAGACAAACAAAAAUACUCAAAAUACACAUUUUAGUACAGUGGAAGGAAGUUAUUUAUAUUG
rnacentral:lncRNA from 1 species